GGUCAAGCAAAAAAGAGCGCAGGGUGGAUGCCUUGGCACUAAGAGCCGAUGAAAGACGUGAUAAGCUGCGAAAAGCUACGGGGAGGAGCAAAUAUCCUUUGAUCCGUAGAUGUCUGAAUGGGGAAACCCACAUGAGCAUACCUCAUGUAUCCAUACGCCAAUCCAUAACGUAUGGAGGGGAACCCGGUGAACUGAAACAUCUAAGUAGCCGGAGGAAGAGAAAGAAACAUCGAUUUCCAAAGUAGCGGCGAGCGAAAUGGAAAGAGGCCAAACCGGAAUGCGUGCAUUCCGGGGUUCGGACCGCAUAAUUGAUUUGUCAAUCCUAGCAGAAAGGUUUUGGGAAAGCCUGCCAGAGAGGGUGAAAGCCCCGUAAGCGAAAGG
rnacentral:rRNA from 1 species